rnacentral:misc_RNA from 1 species
UACGUAGGGUGCAAGCGUUAAUCGGAAUUACUGGGCGUAAAGCGUGCGCAGGCGGUUUUGUAAGACAGGCGUGAAAUCCCCGGGCUCAACCUGGGAACUGCCUUUGUGACUGUAAGGCUAGAGUGUGUCAGAGGGGGGUAGAAUUCCACGUGUAGCAGUGAAAUGCGUAGAUAUGCGGAGGAACACCGAUGGCGAAGGCAAUCCCCUGGGCCUGCACUGACGCUCAUGCACGAAAGCGUGGGGAACAAACAGG